UUUAAACUGUGGCAGCCCUGUGGGUAACCUUAUACCUGCAGGCACAUGGCACCAAUGGUGAUGUUCAGCAGCUCGAUGUUUGUCAAGCACCACUCAUCAUCCAUUCAUUCAGCCACUCACUCAUUCAUGCAGAAGUGGGAGAUCUGUGGGGAAAGCAGGAACUGUCCCGCACACCCUUACGUGGUGAGCUGCUGAUGUUUGUGACUUCCCCGUCUGUUGCCGGCAGACCUGUGCUGUUCAGUCAGGUAGGUGUUGUUGGUGGAGAGGGAACAGCGGGGUGUGAGUCGGGUCCGGGUCUUUGGCACAUGCUGUCUUCCAUCUGGGCUUGUGAAGGUGGUUGGAGCUGAGCUGAAAAUGUCGCGGGCUGUCCUGCCACCUCAAGGGGGGGCCUGUCCAUCCGCAUGGGGGCCGGCAGUGUGAGAAGCGUCAGCAUCUAGAGAUUCCUGAGCCCAUGGGACCCAGGAGGACAGAAGCAUCAGCCCCUUUGAAUAAUCAAGCCAGUUCCAGCGGGGUUCCACCUGUGUGUCCUCUCCAGGCACUGAGUGGCCAGUUUGUGCUUUUGUUGCAAUGGUUAAGAAGGACCAGCUGUCUACCUGACUGCGAUCACCCUGCCUGUUCACACAGGUUCAUCCUGGGGGUGCUGCGUCAAGGCUGCCUUGGACGCCACCCGGCCCUCGGUGCUUCUCUUGGAGUUACACUUCCUCACCAUCUACCCGCGUGUCCAAGACAGGGCCCGCAGUCUGUGGAGCGGAGACCAGCGUGGAUCCACCGAGAAGGAACCUGUCUGCAUUCCAGACCUAAAUGUUUCUGGGCCAGCGCCUUCCCAAUCCAGGUUCCCUUCACAAAGGCGGGGGUGGCCUGUCUGUGACCAUCUGCGAGGAGCAGGAGGACGGGACGCUCCCUGGGUUCCACUGCCCCCUCACUCGGUGACCUCCUGGAGGGACUCAGGCUGCUUCCCGAGUUUGUUCUUUCUGUCCUGGGUGGACCAUGUUCUCCGUAGGCACAGUUCUCGGGUGUCUUCUGUUUGCUGUACAUUUUGUUUCUAGAGUAACCGAGUGUCUGGCAUGUUGGGUCCCAGAACCUGGCUGUGCCCCGUGGAUAUGCCCUGCGCCUGCCUCUGGCUGUGAUGUUUCAACACCAGCAACCGCUAUGAGCUUGACGUUGUAACUGACCAAGCGUCUGAGCACUGGGUCCCUCGCUGGGCACUCUGUCCCAUUCAAUCCAUGCAAACCCUCACCGAGGGGAUCGGCAGGGGUCGUCACCAGCAAGCUGGGCUGGAGAAGAACCGGGCAAGCGUAUGGAACCCCGAGUGCAAGGCGCAGCAGCCUCCCUCAGGAGACCCCUCAGCAAGCCCAGAAGGGGUGGUAUCACAGCCUCGGCACAUUGUCCUCUAGUUGUACGUGGCAGAGUCCAAGCGUGAAGCCACCCUGUUUGCCACCAGAGCCUCUGCUUCAGGGACUGCUGUUCUACUUUGGUCUUAUGGCCACAGCCGGUGCAGGGCAGCGCCGGAGGGGCAGGUCACAGGUGGCUUUUGCCCAACUUGGCCGGUGGGCCAAGUAUGACCUAGGAGGGCCUCCUUGGAAACUGGCCACAGAAGGGGAUGACUGCGGGGCCCACAUGACUUCUAGGGACCAUGGAAGCCUCAAAAGACAGAGAAAUGUAUUGGGCAUCCCCUCUAGAAUCUCAUUUAAUUUUUUUUUCUGUGCUGGGGAUUGAACCCAGGGCCUCAUGCAUGUUAGGCAAGUGCUCUACCACUGAGCUACACCCCCAACUCUCAUUUAAUUUUGACAUCAGCAGUGUAGAGAACGAUAUUUGAAAGAGAAGCUAUCAAGUCUUGAAGAGGUAAAGCCAUUUGCCCAAGGUCCUUCAUGUGAAGGUUUUGCAGCUAUGGAGGGUUCAAAUCCAGCAGUCAGGCUCUUUCCCUCAUGUCUCUGUCUACCUGCCAGCCCUGGACCAUCUCACUGUAAUCAUCGCUGUGCUUGGUGUGUGUUUAUUCCAUUCUAAGGAUUCCCGAGAGGUGAAGGGCAGGGAAGAGGUCACAAAAUGGCGGCCCACGGCUCAGAUCCAGCCUGCAGAUUUGUUCUUGGCCUCCAUUUUGUGCAUGAUGUAAUUUAGUAAAAUUCCAGGAGCUCAAAAGCUCCUAGGAGCCAUC
rnacentral:tRNA from 1 species